rnacentral:SRP_RNA from 1 species
GCCAGGCACAGUUGCACGCACCUGUAGCCCAGGUAUUCUGGAGGCUAAGGCAGAAGAAUCACUUGAGCCCUGGAGUUCAGGGCUAUCAUGCACUAAGUUGAUCUGGUGUUUAUGCUAAGUUCUGCAUCAAUAUGGUGACUUCCUGGGAGUGGGGGACCACCAGGUUGCCUAAGGAGGGGUGACCCUAAGUUGGAAACAGAGCUAGUCAAAACUCCUGUGCAAUUCCAGCAGUAGAAUCGCACCCCUCUGAAUAGGUGCAAUUGCCCUCCAGCAUGGGCAACAUAGCAAGACCCUGUCUCU